AAUGCAAUUUUGAGGGAGGUAUUUUCAUUUUCUUCCAUAACACGGCUCAUUCAGUAACUUAAUUAAAAUAUUAAAGAAAAUGGCAAGUCACUUUUUCUUUUUUUACUAAUUCUGAAAGUGAAUUUUUCACAUGCAGCUCUGACCAGCGUGGAUCAAAGACAUUUUUGUCCUUUUUCAUCAACAUGAUUUAUUUAGAGUCCAAAACCUCCUCCAAAUAUUCACUUCUUUGUAAGUUUUGCAUUUAUUUUAAAGGCUUAAAUCAACAAUAGGAAUGCUGCAGUCUGAAGUGCACAUAUGUCAGCUUUCUUCUCACAAGAUCCUGGUUUUUAAUCUGCAUUUUCUUGACAGUUUGACGGUCGCGUUCAAAGCUGCUUGCAGACAGUGCAUCUCACAACACGUUGGACAUGGUGGCAGUGAGGAUGCUAAACACAAAGCCUGUCAGGUCUCAUUUCACCUCACUCAAAGUGUGUGGAGUUGAUUUUUUCAGGUCAGUACUGUAAGCAGGUCCACCUGCUCCGUUUUCUUCCACAGCCAGACCUUUGAGUGGAUUUUUCCUCCUCUGUUCUAAUUAAAACUGUGAUAGAAUUUUUGCAAAUAAAAUUCCCAAUAAGCACAUUUAUAGUUGGGUUGUUUGGAGAUGGAUGGGAAUGUUGCUGUUUAAUUAAAAACUGCUGUCUGUGGAGGUUCACCUGUGCUUUACUCCUGCACUCCACUUCACAGGGGACUGCUGGCUGAUUGAAACGCACCCUGUAUCCAUGGUAACGGAGCGGUGACAGCUACUGUACCUCUCAUCACCGCUGAUUCCAUAAACACAGAGAUGAGUGCAGGUGCCUGCAGGAACGCAGGAACUCACCACCGACGUGUUUCUCAGAUGGAGCUCCAUAUUGCAGCGUCUCAACUCUGCUUUCAUGUUGUAAAUACAAUGCAGUUUCAGAUGCAACGUAUCACGUGGAGCUUCCAUUUUUGCAUUCACAAACAGCACUUCAGUUUAUUUCAUGCUCAAGGAUACAUCAGAACAUCAAGAGUGGUUGCUGAGUAAACCACAGACUAGAAUGAAAGGAGCCUGGACUGAACUAAAAGAGACUGAAUUCACGUCAAGGACGAGCAGAAGAAAGCAUGAAACAGAAACAUCAUGUUGUGCUGAACAUAAAAAUGUAGCAACA